UCUCUCUCCUUGACUGUCUUCAAACUGACAUAUCAGUCUUCUUAGAUUCUUUAACUGGGACUUGCACUAUCAGCUUUCCUGUUUCUCAAUUUUUCAAAUGUGAACUAUACUUAUACAAUCAAUUCUGCUGGUUCUCAGACCUUCAAGCUCAUUCAGUAGCAGUGGUCCACUUUGUGCUUUGAAUUAGCCCUUGCUGCCCUGCCACAGCAACUAAUUGUUUAAAAGGACAUGUUUCUUUCUCCCUGCCCGUUCCUAAUUUCUCCCUGUCUCUAACGUCAGGGGAAACAGGAUUGCCUUUCAUCCCCAUCCUAAACAGAGUUAUCUGUCCUUGAGCGCACACCCACAACAAGAAUAAAGUAAUUCAGACUUUUCCAAUGGUACCAGAAGAUCUCAGAAAUGACUAUUUUCCAAAUUAACAAGUGAAUUACUACUCUGGACAGAGCAUGUGGAAUGUAGCCUUUGAGUCACCUCUUUAAAACAAAACAAAACAAAACAAAAACCUGUUCUCUAGGAUGGGCAGGAGUACUUUUCCUUUGCUAGCAAAACAAUCAGAUUUCUUUUUCUCAAAACUGUAUCCUCAUUAUUGGAUUGGCAAGGAGACAGGGUCCUAGUUUUCAGUAAUGAUAGUAGAGGAAAGCGCUGCUAGCUUUCCUCAGUCUUCAGUUUGGGAGUGGUAGAUCUUGUGACUUCUGAUUGUUGCAAUCACAUAAGCCUAUUCCUCAGAAUAUUUUUUCUCUAUCUUUUCUAUUGGAUCUAUGUUUUUCUGGAGUACUACGUUUAUAGAGACAACAAUUUUUAUAAAAGAUUAAAAAUGAAAUUAAAAAUAAAAAAAAAAUUCCAAGAGUAAGCAGUACCAUAGCUUAUAACCCAGAAGCUCACUGGUCCUCCAUGGUAUCACUGCCAGCAUUAUGGGGGAACCCUUGCAUUCUGGUACUGCUAGCAAAACCAUGACUUUGUCCUUGCUUCCAACUCCAUGAUUCUCAUCAACAGCUUGAUACCAUGGGGCUGAUCAUCAUGCCUUUAUGUCUUUUGACAUGAGCUCUCAUCUCUUGCCAAUAUCCAUAUGGAUUCAGGGAAGGAAGGGGUUCCCUGCUCAUUGACCACACCUAAACAUUCUUUCCAGCUCUUGUUUCUUUAAUAAUAUUUAUUAUUAUCUUUCAUUAUUUCCCUUUUUUUCACUACAAUGUAAGUCAGAAACUAUUUCUCUAUCAUUUAUUUACUAUUCAUAGAAGUGAAACCAGUGCUGACACAGAAUAGCAUAUUUAUUCAAUCAUUAACCAUAAAAGUAAUAUUGGUGAUUUUAAUAAGAUUUAAAAGCCUUUAACUGCUAAGAGCCAUAGCCAAGUAGUAAUGAUGCAUGGCAUUUUUGGUUGAAAGAUGGCAUUUUUGGUUGAAAGACACCAGCAAGCCAUUGAGAUGAUAUGAUUAUGUUAAGAUCUGCAUUCAAAUGGAUAUUAGACCCCUGCUGUCCACCUCAGCUUGCUAUGGGACUCCUGGAGAGUUCCCAUUGGUUGGGGAAGUACAGUAGGAGGGAAUUCCAGAGGAGGGAUUUCCUGUUGGUGUGUGUGUCCAGGAGAAUGCCACGUGCGUGGGUCGGCAUAUUUCCCGGGAGCAUACAGGGCAUUGGCGGGAGUUUCAAAAAUAAAGUUUGUUCCUGUUUGAGUGGCUUGUGAUUUUAUGCCCAGCCAGACUGCGGCAUUUAACAAGCUAAAUAUUGUGCUAGAUUGGCUGAAUGUAUUAUUUCAGGUUUUCUUUUUACAAUUCUAAGGAAUCAGACUCUUUCAUUGGCCCCAUAGCAUAGAGAAGUCGAGUACAGUUCUAAGGUCAGUCUAUGGGUGAUAGAGUUCACAAUAGUUUCCAUUCAGGCAGCUCUUGCAAAUUCUUGACCUUCAGGAUUUUGAACUUUGUGUGCAGAUG
rnacentral:lncRNA from 1 species